UCCCUGGAGGACUAGUGGUUAGGCCUUGGCCCUGCCAUCGCCGUGGCCCAGGUUCGAUUCCAGGCCAGAGAA